GGACGAACGCUGGCGGCGUGCUUAACACAUGCAAGUCGAACGGAAAGGCCCUGCUUUUGUGGGGUGCUCGAGUGGCGAACGGGUGAGUAACACGUGAGUAACCUGCCCUUGACUUUGGGAUAACUUCAGGAAACUGGGGCUAAUACCGGAUAGGAGCUCCUGCUGCAUGGUGGGGGUUGGAAAGUUUCGGCGGUUGGGGAUGGACUCGCGGCUUAUCAGCUUGUUGGUGGGGUAGUGGCUUACCAAGGCUUUGACGGGUAGCCGGCCUGAGAGGGUGACCGGCCACAUUGGGACUGAGAUACGGCCCAGACUCCUACGGGAGGCAGCAGUGGGGAAUAUUGCACAAUGGGCGGAAGCCUGAUGCAGCAACGCCGCGUGCGGGAUGACGGCCUUCGGGUUGUAAACCGCUUUCGCCUGUGACGAAGCGUGAGUGACGGUAAUGGGUAAAGAAGCACCGGCUAACUACGUGCCAGCAGCCGCGGUGAUACGUAGGGUGCGAGCGUUGUCCGGAUUUAUUGGGCGUAAAGGGCUCGUAGGUGGUUGAUCGCGUCGGAAGUGUAAUCUUGGGGCUUAACCCUGAGCGUGCUUUCGAUACGGGUUGACUUGAGGAAGGUAGGGGAGAAUGGAAUUCCUGGUGGAGCGGUGGAAUGCGCAGAUAUCAGGAGGAACACCAGUGGCGAAGGCGGUUCUCUGGGCCUUUCCUGACGCUGAGGAGCGAAAAGCGUGGGGAGCGAACAGGCUUAGAUACCCUGGUAGUCCACGCUGUAAACGGUGGGUACUAGGUGUGGGGUCCAUUCCACGGGUUCCGUGCCGUAGCUAACGCUUUAAGUACCCCGCCUGGGGAGUACGGCCGCAAGGCUAAAACUCAAAGGAAUUGACGGGGCCCCGCACAAGCGGCGGAGCAUGCGGAUUAAUUCGAUGCAACGCGUAGAACCUUACCUGGGUUUGACAUGGAUCGGGAGUGCUCAGAGAUGGGUGUGCCUCUUUUGGGGUCGGUUCACAGGUGGUGCAUGGCUGUCGUCAGCUCGUGUCGUGAGAUGUUGGGUUAAGUCCCGCAACGAGCGCAACCCUUGUUCACUGUUGCCAGCACGUUAUGGUGGGGACUCAGUGGAGACCGCCGGGGUCAACUCGGAGGAAGGUGGGGAUGGCGUCAAGUCAUCAUGCCCCUUAUGUCCAGGGCUUCACGCAUGCUACAAUGGCUGGUACAGAGAGUGGCGAGCCUGUGAGGGUGAGCGAAUCUCGGAAAGCCGGUCUCAGUUCGGAUUGGGGUCUGCAACUCGACCUCAUGAAGUCGGAGUCGCUAGUAAUCGCAGAUCAGCAACGCUGCGGUGAAUACGUUCCCGGGGCUUGUACACACCGCCCGUCAAGUCAUGAAAGUUGGUAACACCCGAAGCCGGUGGCCUAACCGUUGUGGGGGAGCCGUCGAAGGUG
rnacentral:rRNA from 1 species